GGCAGCGUAGCUCAGUGGAAAGAGCCCGGGCUUGGGAGUCAGAGGUCAUGGGUUCGAAUCCCAGCUCUGCCA
rnacentral:tRNA from 1 species